rnacentral:lncRNA from 1 species
GAAACCUCAUGCUGCUUCAAGGAGUAUUAAAGAACCCUUCUCAUAUCAAACUGUUUCUUCCUGGUCCUCUUUUUUUGCAGCUUAGUUUCUUCUGUUCAAAGAUAAACCCAGAAGUUUUGAUGGAUGCAAAAUGAUGACAGACAUGUAAUACAUUCUUCCCUCAGGAGAAUGGGGAGAGAGAAAACUUAUUUUGUGUGGCAGAGUGAGAUGUAAACAACGUCAGCAUAGCACACCACUCAUUCAGCCUCCAGUCCCUUUCUGGCACCCUAAGAAUAAAACUGAAAACCUUUUUCUUAAUCCUCAUGAGGCCUCAAGAGCCUUGCUGCCCC